rnacentral:rRNA from 1 species
UACGUAGGGACCAAGCGUUGUUCGGAUUUACUGGGCGUAAAGGGCGCGUAGGCGGCAUGACAAGUCACUUGUGAAAUCUCUGGGCUUAACCCAGAACGGCCAAGUGAUACUGUCGCGCUAGAGUGCAGAAGGGGCAAUCGGAAUUCUCGGUGUAGCGGUGAAAUGCGUAGAUAUCGAGAGGAACACCAGAGGUGAAGACGGGUUGCUGGGCUGACACUGACGUGAGGCGCGAAAGCUAGGGGAGCGAACG